AAUGAAAACCCAUGUCCCCAUCAUGUGGGUUCAAUAAUUACAAACUCAUUGCUAAUUUUGGUUUAUCUCUACCUCCAGAGACUUUGCCUCUUAUAAUAUCUGAAGUAAGCCACAGAUGUCAUUUCUUCUACAAAUAUAUUAGUUCACAUCACUAAAAGCUUCAAAGGGUACGAGCAUAGAUUGCUACAUGGAUAUAUUACACAGUGGUGGAGUCUGAGAUGUCUUCUCAAGAAAAGCAAAAAAAUAUAUAAAGGAUACUCUUCAUCAGAACAAUUCUUUUUAUGAAUAAUUUCAUUUACUUGCAAUAACCAAUUAUUAGGAAAUCCCUUUCCAGUGAGUAAACUCUGUCUAGAAAUAAUCUAAGAUUAAUUCAUAAAUGCUUUGAUUGUUUUUCUUCCCUAAUGGCGUGAUACCAUGACAUACAUAAACCUAUGACUAUAUAUAUAAUAUAUUGACUAUAUAUAUACAUAUAUAUAGACAUUGCACUGCACAAAUGGCAAUAAGAAGCUAAUCGCUUUUGUCUUUUUUAAAUUAUAAAUAUUGAAAAAUCAUAAAGUUAUGGCAAACUAUGUAUAAGGCAAUGCAAAAGUAAUUUCAGUUUUUGCCAUUGCUUUUGCACCACCUAAUUAUUUUUGCACCACCUAAUAUAUAGUCUUCAUAUAGUCUCUUUUUAUAUAUAGUCAUAGCUUCAUGCAUGUCUAUAUGUAUAUAAAGUGUGCACACACACAUGCACGUGUGGUUUGUAUUUGUACAUACUAAUCUGAAUUUUAAAAGUUACACUUAACUUAUAAUCAUAACUACAUAUUGUUACCUUCAAAAAGAAAAUGUCAUCAUAGUGAUGACUAGUAAUUGUGUAUGAGAGAAUUAAGUGUAAUUGCUUCCAAACUGCAUAUUACAAAGACAUUUUGAGGUCUCAUUUACACUUGAUUGUUAGGAUAGUGUUAAAUUUUUAGAAUUUAUUUUUCUUCUGCUGGACCCUGUUUGAUAAUGAUGGUACAUUAUAUUUAACUGCCUUUCUGAAAACACCAAGUAAUAGGCAAGUAUAUA
rnacentral:lncRNA from 1 species